UGCCAGCAGCCGCGGUAAAACGUAGGACGCAAGCGUUAUCCGGAAUUACUGGGCGUAAAGCGCGCGCAGGCGGGCUGUCAAGUCAUGCGUGAAAGCUCCCGGCUAAACUGGGAGAGGUCGGAUGAUACUGAUAGUCUGGAGGGCGACAGAGGAGUGUGGAAUUCCGCGUGUAGUGGUGAAAUGCGUAGAUAUGCGGAGGAACACCAGUGGCGAAGGCGGCACUCUGGGUCGCACCUGACGCUGAGGCGCGAAAGCAUGGGUAGCGAAUGGGAUUAGAUA
rnacentral:rRNA from 1 species